rnacentral:piRNA from 1 species
UGAAAGAGAAUCCUCCGUACUCAAGUGU